rnacentral:rRNA from 1 species
UACGAAGGGGGCUAGGCGUUGUUCGGAUUUACUGGGCGUAAAGCGCACGUAGGCGGUUUGUUAAGUCAGAGGUGAAAUCCUGGAGCUCAACUCCAGAACUGCCUUUCGAUACUGGCAAGCUCGAGUCCGGAAGAGGUAAGUGGAACUCCUAGUGUAGAGGUGGAAUUCGUAGAUAUUAGGAAGAACACCAGUGGCGAAGGCGGCUUACUGGUCCGGAACUGACGCUGAGGUGCGAAAAGCGUGGGGAGCA